UUUACUUUAACCAUACAGUUUUGUUGAGAUGACACAUGUUCUUUUUCACUUAUAAUAUUUAAUGUAAUGACUUACGUGUUUAUAAUAGUUGAUCAUAAUUUUGUUUAUUUUAAAUAUUCCUUCAAGGAUCUAUUUAGAUAAUGUCAGAAACUGCCUCAAGUUAAUGGCAGGAUAGUUGCCACCACAAUGACAAGUAUUUGUAUGGCUCUAAAACCGAUUGCAAGUAGGUGAGAAGGUGGUAUUUUAAGGCUGGUGUUAUAUUAGGUAGGAAGUGAGAGAAUGGGUGUUGUGUAGAGUGCAGAGGACCAGACAGAGCCCGUUAGUGUGACUUGACGUGUAAUGCCAGCUAGGAAGGUAAGAGGGCACGGAUAAGGAGGGGAAAGCAGUCCCCAGAGGGAGAAAACAGUUCGUGCUUUGGAAUUUCUUGUAUCUUCUUUCUUAUGGAUACCCUUUUUAUAGUACUGAUACCAUUUGCUAGUAUAUUUAUUUUAUUUAAAAAAGGAUUAGGUGUGUUACAUUUACUUAGGAGGCUUCUUCAUAGGGCUGUGUGUGAUGCGCUUGGUCGUAUUCCCGUGUAUUUUCCAGCGUUUGUAAGUAAGAUACCCUGUUUGUUGAUUAUUAUGAUACUGCAGUUUUAAUGAGAACCUUUUGUAGGAUACUGUCCAUCUCUCUCUCUUACGCUUGCUUCUGCACUUGUGGGAGCAUGCGUCUCCUCAUGCAUUUUCUUUGAAACCUCGUCCAUGACGAUUGACAGAGCUUCACUUGCUUUUGCUGGACUCGUCCUACAAGUUGUCUUCGCUUUAUUCAUCCUGAUUUGUAAUUUUAAAAUCUUAGAUUUAAAGCUCUAAUGUUUUUCUUUAAGGAAAAGGGUUUUGAUCAAAUCUUUCAGAAAGUAAUUUCUUUUUAGAUUUUUAUUUUUUCUUAUUAAUGGAUAUUUUCUUUUUUAAAAAUUUCAAAUAGAAUGUCAAACUAUUAGUAUUUAAUAUUCUGUUUCUUUAUUUUCUGGACCAAGAACUUAACCUCAUACAUAAAUUGCAAGGUCAUCUCUUUCAAAUCUUUUGAGUUUCUUCUUUUCCUAACGUAUGUUCAGAUAUCAUAAUGUGCAUAUUCAUCAUUUUCUUAGCGAGGUAAUAUGCAAAACUUGCCACAUUGGUGUUUUGUUUUGUUUAGCUGCAUAUAGUGGUAGUAGGUUGUUGUAUGCUCAUGACUGAACCACCCUGGAUAUACUCACUGUCUGCUAACAUUAUAAGAUAGAUACUCUUCCUGUGUAACUUGUUUUGCGUUAUUUUGUAACUGAUAGUAACUACUAUCCUUUGAUUGUGAUUGCUGUUUCAUCUAUUUUCAACCCCUUUUCUUUAAAAGUUUUUAUUCUCUGUGUGUGUGUUAAAUGGUAAGAGUGUUAUAGAAAAAUCUACUUGAAAUUUUAGACCAUAUAACUUUUAUUUUAAACAUGAUUAGUCUACUUUGUAAAGUUUAUACUUUUUAAAAACUUAAUGCUAGAUGACAUUAGUGGUUUUGACUGACAUGUAGACAGAUAAGUACCUCGAAGCUUACAAAUAGAAGUCAUGUUUUGUGUCACUUCUAUCAAGAAGGCUAUGUUACUAAUCACUAGUACAUUCUUACAUAAUAGAUCUUAGUGAAAGUAUAAUAUUUGUGACAUGGAUAGUUCCAAAUGUAAAAAUACAGGACUGGACUAGUAAUGAUUUGUUAUUUAGUCAUGUUCACUUUCAUUUUGCUAACUUCUAUCUCAAAACCAUGAGUCUUGCUAUUCAACUUAACUCUCCCACCCCUCUUUAAACAAACAAACAAACAAACAUGUAUAUGUGUUCAUGUCUGGUGUGAAUGUGGGAGCCUGCAGAAACCAAAGGCAUUCUGGAUCCUCUGGGCGUGAAGUUGUUAAGUGGUUAUGAGCUGCUGAUGUAGGGUGUGGGGAGCUGGUUUAUCCUGGGUCUUCUGGAAUAGCAAUACGUGCUUUUAAUUGUUCAGCCAUAUCUGUAGUGCCAAUGUGUUCCUUUCUCUGGUUCUCGGGAUUUAUUUAUUUGUUUUGUUCUGGCUUUUUAAGACAUAGAAUAGGGUUGAGAUGACAGUGUUAGCUGUUCUUUGAAUAUCAAGACUCAGAUUGUAUGCAGUGACUUAUGAAUCCACUUCUGCAUUCUGGAAUCCAGUCCACUCGACUUAAACACUCAUCCUGAAGUAUUUUGGAUGUGAGGGUGGUCUGUGUCUUGUUAAUCAGCUGACCCAUCACCAAAGAACCUACAUACUCAGCCUGUGUGGAAAACAGUAGCAUUUAAACACCUUUUGUGGCUUCAAGCUACCAGCACAUAGGCACCUCUCAACAUCCUUCAUCUUCUCAGCUUUUCUCUGAAGAAUUUGGCCUUCGCCAUAACAUGCUGUAUAAGGAGCCUGCCUUUCCCCAGAACUUACAGUAGCCUGCUCGCACAUCAGAGAUGGCAACAGCUUCAGCCUUGUUGUUUUGUAGAAUGAGCCUGUUUCCGGAUUAGUGUUCACAAUUUGGAUAGGUUGCCAGUUGGGUAGAAAUCCUGAUUCUUUAAGUGGUGAUUCCUCACACCAACUUUCCCAAAAGUCGCCCAGAUGUUUGUUAAAGUUGAUUUUGCUAUGCAUGCCACCAGCAACCCCCAUCUUUCUAGGUGCUUGUGGCAUUUAUUGAUUGCUCUGGCAGCCGUGGCUCAAGAGGUCCUGAAAUGUCCAGGUCUUCACUAGUCUCCUUGGCAUGGUGGGAGCUGAAAGGAAAGAAAGUCCCUCUUUUAACC
rnacentral:lncRNA from 1 species